GAUGAACGCUGGCGGCGUGCCUAAUACAUGCAAGUAGAACGCUGAAGCUUGGUGCUUGCACCGAGCGGAUGAGUUGCGAACGGGUGAGUAACGCGUAGGUAACCUGCCUCUUAGCGGGGGAUAACUAUUGGAAACGAUAGCUAAUACCGCAUAAAAGUCGAUAUCGCAUGAAGUUGACUUGAAAGGUGCAAUUGCAUCACUAAGAGAUGGACCUGCGUUGUAUUAGCUAGUUGGUGAGGUAACGGCUCACCAAGGCGACGAUACAUAGCCGACCUGAGAGGGUGAUCGGCCACACUGGGACUGAGACACGGCCCAGACUCCUACGGGAGGCAGCAGUAGGGAAUCUUCGGCAAUGGGGGCAACCCUGACCGAGCAACGCCGCGUGAGUGAAGAAGGUUUUCGGAUCGUAAAGCUCUGUUGUAAGAGAAGAACGAGUGUGAGAGUGGAAAGUUCACACUGUGACGGUAACUACCA
rnacentral:rRNA from 1 species